rnacentral:rRNA from 1 species
CCUACGGGCGGCAGCAGUGAGGAAUAUUGGUCAAUGGGCGAGAGCCUGAACCAGCCAAGUCGCGUGAGGGAGUACUGCCCUAUGGGUUGUAAACCUCUUUUGCCGGGGAGCAAGGGCGGGGACGUGUCCCGGCCCGGAGAGGACCCGGAGACAAAGCCGCGGCUAACUCCGUGCCAGCAGCCGCGGUAAUACGGAGGAUGCGAGCGUUAUCCGGAUUUAUUGGUUUUAAAGGGUGCGUAGGCGGGCUUUUAAGUCAGCGGUCAAAAUUCGGGGCUCAACCCCGGCCGGCCGUUGAAACUGGGGGCCUUGCGUGGGCGAGAAGAAGGCGGAAUGCGUGGUGUAGCGGUGAAAUGCAUAGAUAUCACGCAGAACCCCGAUUGCGCAGGCAGCCUUCCGGCGCCCUACUGACGCUGGGGCACGAAAGUGCGGGGAUCGAACAGGAUUAGAUACCCCGGUAGUC